rnacentral:rRNA from 1 species
CAUUUUUCAUGCUUCAGAAUUGAACGCUGGGGGCAGCUUUACCCCCAAAUUAAAGGCUGCCGAGAGAGCUUGCUCUUUGUGGGAAGGGGAGGGGAAGUAUUUCAGGGGAACUCCCGUGGAUGGGGAUAAUUACUGGAACGAUAGUUAUUCCAAUAUGUGUAGAAAGAGGGGGGCUUUUGGCCUUUCCUAUAUGAGCCUGAUGAGGUUAAUUAUAGGUGGAGUAAAAGUCACCCAAGGGAGAUUCCUAAGUGGUUUGAGGAGAUGGCCAACCCCACCGGAGAUGAGACCCGGUCCCAGAUUCUAGGGAAGCAGCCGUGGGGAAUUUUCACAAAUGGGCAAACCUGAUCCACAAUCCGGGGGUAUGAAGGAAGCCUUCGGGGUGUAAAGCAUUUCAUCAGGGAGAAGGUAGUAGAUUAAUAACCACAGCAAUAGACGUUACUCGCAGAAGAAGCACCGGUAAUUCGUGCCAGCAGCCGCGGUAAUUUGGAGGGUGCAAGCGUUAAUUGAAUUUUGGGCGUAAAGCGCACGCAGGCGGUCUGUCAAGUUGGAUGUGAAAUCCCCGGGCUCAACCUGGGAAAUGCAUCCGAAUUGGCAGACUUGAGUCUUGUAGAGGGGGGUAGAAUUCCAGGGGAGCGGUGAAAUGGGUAGAGAUUCGGAGGAAUCCCGGUGGGGAAGGCGGCCCCCUGGACAAAGACUGACGUCAGGUGCGAAAGCGUGGGGAGCAAACAGGAUUAGAUACCCUGGUAGUCACCCGUAAAAGAUGUCGACUGAGGUGUGACGGCGCUGUGGUUACGGUAGCUAACGUGUUAAGGACCCGCCUA